GGUUUUUAACAAAGUCAAACAUCAUUUAGCUAAUAAUGAAGUCUCUCUUCCCAGGUAACAGGUGAGUUAGUUGAUGAUUUGAACAGUUGGGAUGUCUUGCGAGCUGCAUUGCCAGUGGGGACAGUUAGCGGAGCACCAAAGGUGAAAGCAAUGGAGUUGAUUGAUCAGCUGGAGGUUACCAGGCGUGGACCGUACAGCGGUGGGUUUGGUGGAAUUUCAUUUUCAGGAGACAUGGAUAUAGCCCUUGCUCUAAGGACCAUUGUCUUCCCCACCAAUACCCGUUACGACACCAUUUACUCGUAUAAGGAUGCGAACCGCCGAUUGGAAUGGGUAGCUCACCUCCAAGCUGGCGCUGGCAUUGUGGCGGACAGUGAUCCUGGAGAUGAACAAAGGGAAUGUGAGAACAAAGCCGCCGCACUUGCCCGUGCAAUUGACCUUGCAGAGUCCUCAUUCAUUGGAAAAUAAUGGCAAAACCUUCGUUUAUUUAGAAUACUUUUGUUUUCCAUUCGUCAGUCGUUUCAAGUUCCUCCCAUUUUUGGGUUCAAAGAAUUCUUCUGAACACGUGAUUUUUCACUAUAAAUGUAAGCGUUUCAUACUAGUUUUUA